GGCACUAUGGCCGAGUGGUUAAGGCGACAGACUUGAAAUCUGUUGGGCUCUGCCCGCGCUGGUUCAAAUCCUGCUGGUGUCGCCA
rnacentral:tRNA from 1 species